AUUCCAUUGUGGGGACACUUCCUUAAUAAUACCUUAAAGUGCUCCGAAGCAUCAUACAAUGACUCCCCAUUAUUCUGAUAGAAAUUAUUAAUUUCACCUCUCAUUUU